AUUGAACGCUGGCGGCAGGCCUAACACAUGCAAGUCGAACGAGUGGCGGACGGGUGAGUAAUGUCUGGGAAACUGCCUGAUGGAGGGGGAUAACUACUGGAAACGGUAGCUAAUACCGCAUACCAUCAGAUGUGCCCAGAUGGGAUUAGCUUGUUGGUGGGGUAACGGCUCACCAAGGCGACGAUCCCUAGCUGGUCUGAGAGGAUGACCAGCCACACUGGAACUAAGACGCGGUCCAGACGCCUCCGGGAGGCAGCGGUGGAGAAUAUUGCACAAUGGGCGCAAGCCUGAUGCGGCCAUGCCGCGUGUAUGAAGAGGGCCUUCGGGUUGUAAGGUACUUUCAGCGGGGAGGCGUUACCCGCAGAAGAAGCACCGGCUAACUCCGUGCCAGCAGCCGCGGUAAUUC
rnacentral:rRNA from 1 species